GAAAUGCCUCCAUGAGAUCCAGCUGUAAGGCAUUUUCUCAAUUAGUGAUUAAUGGGGGAGGGUCCAGUCUGUGGUGGGUGGGGCCAUCCCUGGGUUGGCAGUCCUG
ensembl:miRNA